CAAAUCCCAGUACUCCUUGCAGCCCCUCCUAGUCUCCCAUCCCAUCAUCUCACAUCCAAUAGAGGACUGUGAGGGGGCGAAAUGGUUUUUUAAGUAGGAGAACAGUAUGAAAAGCAGCUGUGUCUCACCUUGCUCUCCUUAUGGGGAUGGAGAGUAACUCCAAGACAAGUGGAAGGAGCUGGGCCUGGAGAGAAUCAUCUGUACAACAUGGGAAUGUCUUCGAGAGGGG
rnacentral:lncRNA from 10 species